UACAGAGGGUGCGAGCGUUGUUCGGAGUUACUGGGCGUAAAGGGUGUGUAGGCGGUUGUUUAAGUUUGGUGUGAAAUCUCCCGGCUCAACUGGGAGGGUGCGCCGAAUACUGAAUGACUUGGAGUGCGGGAGAGGAGAGUGGAAUUCCUGGUGUAGCGGUGAAAUGCGUAGAUAUCAGGAGGAACACCGGUGGUGUAGACGGCUCUCUGGACCGUAACUGACGCUGAGACACGAAAGCGUGGGGAGCAAACAGG
rnacentral:rRNA from 1 species